AUGGACUAUUAUGGUCUGUCUCUGCUGGUCGCCUCCCUGCUAACAGGUGUCGAGUCUCAACAACUAUCUCCUCUGGUGGCAGAAAACUUCCCUUCAGAGGGCGGCUCUGUUUCUCUGACCUACACAUUUUCUAAAGAAGCAUCUGGAAGCGAUGAGUUCUACUGGUACCGCCAACAUCCUGGAAAACCUCCAGAGUUCCUGCUCUACCACCUGGGAUCAGGAAAAAUACUGACGAAGCAAACUGCUGGACUGGAGAUUGAUGUGAAGGGAAGAAACAUAAGUCUGCUGAUCUCCUCUGCUGCAGUGACAGACUCUGCUGUGUACUACUGCGCUGUGCAGCCCACAGUGACAGGAAACACCAGAACCCUGGACAAAAACCUGCAGUACUCCACAGCAGCCACUAGAGGGCCUCACUCCCUGUUAAACCACUAAAACCUGCAGUACUCCACAGCAGCCACUAGAGGGCCUCACUGCCUGUUAAACCACUAAAACCUGCAGUACUCCACAGCAGCCACUAGAGGGCAUAGAGCAAGGGUUCUUCACCUUUUUGACCUCUGGGCCCAUUUAUAUAUUAACUAUCUAUUGAUUUACCAAACUGACUUGACUUUUGUUCAAUGUAAAAAUCUAAUUCAAGUAUGGUUUACCAAGCAAAACAUUAAAUAUAACUGCAUCAUAAUGUGAUACUCAUAAUUGAUUUAUUUAUCAUCUGCACAUAAAACAACUUUCUGAACAGGCCAUGGAACAGAUCAAACUGCAACAAGAGUAAAAUUAAAGGCUCAUGUUUGGCCCCUGACACCACGCGUAUUAGAGCUGGAAGAUUGAAGAAGGAAGAAAAUAUUUAUGCCAAAAACCCUUAAAUUUUGAGAUUAUGCUCAGAAAAGUUCUAGAAAAAUUCUAUUUGUCCCGCCUACCCCUCAUUGAUUCCAGCUGUGUCUCGUUUCCUCGUCUUUACUGUCAGCUAAUCGUCUCUAGCUGUGUUACUCCAUCUGCUACCAGUUCUGAGCUCCAAGCCUUCUGCUCACCUGUGCUGCCUGGAUCAUGUUUUUCUUCAUUAAAACCAUCAUCAUUAUUCAACAACCUGGGCCUUACACUUCCAUACUCGCCAUUGCAACUGCAAAUCAUGACAAAUUCUCAGUCUGAAGACAAACAGUUUCGACUUUUGAAACUCAGAA